rnacentral:lncRNA from 1 species
CUCCAACUGUCAGCACUUGAAAAACUUCUCCUGCGUUGAUUAGGGGACCAAUACUUGAUCCAGUAGAAGGAGUUAAUGCUAUAUUUGUCAAACCAGAAAGAGGCCACUGGUUUGCAAAGACAACAACACCAGCUGGAGUCACACUGAGGUUAUUAUAAUAAGUUAUCCCAUUUAUGGUUAUGUCAAACAUUCUUGAGCUUGUUGAAACACGAUCAUCGGCAAAAUAAAGAGCGACGUAAUAUGUCGAGUUAGGGAGAUAUGCUGGAGGCCACAUUAACAGCAGGGGUUCUGGUUGCUCUUUUGUCAAUCGUGUCUGAAACACUCUCACUGGCGGUAGAUUCCAGAUACCGGGAACGGAAACAUUUUCAGAACUCAACGAGGGAGAAUUACUCUCUCCAAAUGGCACCCAAUAACGAUCAAAUUGAUCAUCAGGAUAUCUGUUGAUUUCGCAUUCUUAGAGUUAGCCAAUUGACAGAGAAAAAUACUAAUAAACAAAUCUUGUGAUUAGAAAAAAAUCAUUCUUUUUAGUUUUUACGAGCAGUAGAAGGGGGCAUUGUGCAAGAUUCCAGAAUGUUGACAUUUUCGAGUUUAUGCUUUCUCGAAACAAAACAACUUCUAUCAUUAUUGAGAGGCAAGGCGAAAUUUAUCCUUGCGCCUAAGUACGAAAAAUGGCUACCAUCUACAACUUUUAACCAAAGUUUGUUGGGAUAGACAAUCCAUGAAUGCCAAAUUGUGAUAUCAAUCAAUGCCAGAGAAGCAAUACACACACAUUAAAGCAAAAUUUAAAGGGAAAGACAAUCCAAGAAUGCUUAAUUUGACAAGUACUAAUGUCCACAAAAAAAAAGAAAAAAAAGAAAAAAAAAAGAAAAAAAGAAAAAGAAAAAAAAAGGGAUUUGCCCCUAGAUUAAUUUACUCGAAAAGAAAUUACCAAAAAUUUUCUACUUUCAAGUAUUCGUAUUGAGAAAUCAUGCAAAUUCCAUAGAAGCAAGAAGUUCAUAAAUCAACAAAAAUAAUUAAAUUAAAAACUCACUUUAUUAUCGAUCCUCUGAACCCGAAACUGUGCCUUGCAACUAAACUCAAAGCAUAAGUAUGAAAGUCUGUGGAAUUGUACAACUGAUCCCACAAAGGCACAACCUCCAGAGAAGAAAUAAAAGGAUCUGAAUCUGUAUAUGUAUUAGCAGCCAAACACACACUCAAAUUCUUCCCAGUAGGCUUGAAAAUUCCUUCAUAAUAUAUAAAAUUUCCAUUCAUAUAAUCCUCUGUUGUAUUCACCACAGCCCAUAAUGUCCCAUCAACUAUCUGAUCGAACACCGGUGGCCGUGGGUUGCUAUAACCACCAAUUUCACCAUAGAAAUAUGCAGUCCUCACCAUGUAUUUCGUCGUACGAUCUGGUACUACCGGAAUUUCGUAAAUUUCACCAACCACUUAGUUUUUAUAUUCUCACCGUCCAGAUAUAUUUACAUAGAAAAUUUUUGAUCAAAACUAUAAUGUAAGAAUAGAGAAUCUCCAUUUCCCCCUCCCUUUAUAAAGCAUAAAACCUCAUGCACAUGUUUUAACACAAAUAACUCAGAACCAAACACUUCAUUUAAUCUUCUGGCUUUUCUUCUCUUCUUUCCAUUCUAAAAUGGUUUCCCUGGAAACUGUUCAGGGUAGCUCUAAAUGCAUUGAACCAAAUUCAAGUCCCCGGAUUUCGUUCUCUGCUGAUUUUCUUGAUGAAAAUAACUUCAUUUCUAUAUGUCCAAAUCCUCAGGCAGAGAAAAAAGAAAGAGAGAUAGCGUUAAAUGCCGAAUUUGAGUUUCUUUCGGCGAAUUCAACGAGUCAAAACAUGAUAACUGCAGACGAGCUUUUCUCCGAAGGUAAGUUGCUUCCUUUUUGGCAAAUGCAUCACUCUGAGAAACUCCACAAGAUUAGCCUCAAAACGGAGAACGAUGAAGAGGUAACGGGUGGAAAAGAGACGAAUAACAAGGAAGACACCAGAAUCAGUUGGUUUCUUGAUGAUGAUCCCUCUCCUCGACCUCCUAAAUGCACUGUUUUAUGGAAGGAGUUGUUAAAGUUGAAAAAACAACGCGCUUCUACCUUGUCUCCAUCUUCUUCUUCCUCAUCGUCCUCUUCCAGAGGCUCACUGGUGGAUGUGCCUCCAGUCAAUGAAAGUAAAGAACGAGUUGGACCUCGAGACAAGACUGUAAAGAGACUCAAGAAGGGGCUGGACAGAACAAGAUCGACUAGUAUGCGUAUAAGACCGAUGAUCAAUGUGCCUAUUUGCACACAAGGGAAAAACAGUGCAUUGCCUCCCCUUUUCUCCAUAAGGAAAGGAAGAUUAGAGAGGUAAGAACAAGAAGCUGGUAGCUAUUUGUUGGGUGUUUUUAGAAAUGUCAUUAUUCCUCUCUCUCCCUCUCCGUCCUUUUUUUUUUAAAAUCAUAAUUGAUUUCAUGUUCUUUCUUUGGUUAAAUUGUUAUUUCAAGUAGAAUUUGGUAUGAUUUACAAUGUGGAUACUGACUUUACUUUUGUAAGAAUGUUUCUGCAACUAAUUUCCAUUGAUUCUAAUAAGAUUACCUUGAAGGAGAAAGGGGUGUACCAAAUCUAAGAGGGACUGUUAUAGUUGCUUUAGAUUUUCCCACACUAAAUCUUGUAAUAAAUUGAACGGAGUGGCAGAGCCUACAGAUUUUCUUUGAACAAGGAUUAAGGGCAUCUCUACUAAAUGCACCAAAUCAUCAAAAUACACCAAAUUUUGGUGCAAAACCUCUCCAAUAUGGCACCAAGAUUUGUACAUCUAUUUGCCGAACUAAUUGAUAGAGGGUAUUUGUAUCAUUUUUAUUAUUUAUUUUUAAUACAAUAAAUUAUUAUUAUUAUGAUUCUUAUUUUGAUUAAUAAUAAUAAAAUAAAUUUUAACAAUGUAAAAAAUAAUUUUUUAUAUUUAUUAAUGAAUUUAAUAUUUUCGUCAAUUUAACUUAAUUAUUUAUUUAGUAAUUUUUGUGUUUGUAAAAUAAAUAAGGAAAUAAAUUUUCAAAUUAAUAAAUUAUUGAGAAUAAAAAAAGAGAAGAAAAUGAUGAAAAACUGUUUAUUUGGUGUAAGUUUUGUUGUAAUAACUGGAGAUGAUUUAUAGUUUGAUAUAAAAAUGGUGCACAACUUAUCUCAAAUUUUGGUGCAGAAUUGGAGAUGACCUAAUUAUUUGUUUUAGCUUUUCUAGGAAGAAAUAAGGAAAACAUGAUCAAGAGAAUAAGGAACUUCUGAUUCCAGCCAAACUCAUCCAAUACACAGAGGAAUCUAUUUAAAUUUCAGGACAGUGAAGGAUUAAAUUCCUAGUCGUUAUUAUAUUGUAGCAUCACCUAAAAACUGGGGAAAAUUUGAUUAAUAAAAAUUCCAAAGACAAGGCCGAUUAUUUUCAAAGCCUAACGGGAUAGAAUGUAUCAAAAUAAUACGAAAGUAUGUUCCAUGUGUUCAUGUUGGAGUUGUUUCUAAAAGAAUGUAUCCGACAUUGUAAAUGUUUCAAACGCACGGUUCGCUGUGGUAAGAUAGCAUGGUCCGGGGAAUUGAAUUCCACGUCGAGAAAGACAACACUAAUAAAAUUUUAGAAGUACAAGAAUUCUACGGAGUAAAAAGAUAAGCCUGUUGAAUAUGGCGAGUUAAUUAUUACAAUGGUCACUGAACUUAUGUCUAUAUCUUUAAUUUGUCACUGAAAUUCAAAAUGUCGAGUUUUGGUCAUUGAAUUUAGGUUCAUGUUUUUUAUUGUUCAUAGAAAUUUAAAUGUCGAGUUUUGGCCAUUGAAAUUUGAAAAAUGUUGUACAUUACUCAAUGUAAACUCGAUAUUUUUCAAAAUUCAACAUUUAUGUCCGUGAAUAACGUAUGACGUUUUUCAAAAUUCAGUGACCAAAAUUCGAUAUUUUAAAUUUCGACGAGCAAUCGAAGAAAUGGACCUAAGUUUAGUGAUCAAAUCUCGACUUUUUAAGCUUCAAUGACCAAUCAAAGACAUGGGUUUAAGUUCAGUAACCAUUGGAACAAUUAAUUCGAAUAUGGUAGGACUAAACUGCUAUAAAAACCAGGCAAUCCGACCAUUGAAAAUUAAAUUUGGUUGAACCUAAAGCCAGAUUUGAAUUAAACAGUUAUGCUAGAGGCACAAAGGUUGAAAUUUUUUUUACUGAAGAACACUUGACAAUUUUUCAUUAGUUUUUGACACGACAAUGACAGAAAAUGCACCAUACAUUUCCAUGAAUAAUUCCCUGUAAUGAACAUCAAGUAUCAGGCUUCUUCAAUCAUUUGUGUUUGGUUGUCUUUGUUCGUCACUGAUUUGGUUGCGGGUGGGGAGGGUGGGGGGCAAAUAACAUCGUCAAGAAAAAGACAGUAACGUGUGUCCUGAAGCCAUAUACAGAUUGUCAAGUUUCCUAAAUCAACACCAUGACCAGGCCAAAAAGAAAGAGAAAAAUUAAAAAAUAACACAUCUUGUAAAUGAAUGUGGUAAUGUUACGUAUAUAAGUAAUAAUAUAUACAUAAUAAAUACUUACUGGAAGGAUAAAGCAUCCAAUAAAAAGGAUUUUAGGCAGAAAUUUUAUACGAUAAUUACAAGAUUAAUCACUAGUAGAUAUAGUUAUACAACUAGUUAACUACACACAAUAACAAACAAUUACAAAGAUCUAAUUGAAAUGUAAAUCAAGUAUAUAAAACAUAGAUACACGUUAAGUUAUACAGAGAAAAAUUGUGAUACAGAGAAUAUCAUUCAAAAAAUAACUAUAUAAAAACAUGCUGAUAUACAAUUUGACACACAUUUUCAUUUGUCAAUUCAAGAAUUUAUGUUGACAACCAUAAACAAGUGUCGAUUCUCAAAAGAAGCAGUACGAAUGCGGUUAGAAGCACGAGCCAUAGUCUUACUUCCAGGAUUUGGAGAAUUUUGGUAAUGCUCUGUAGACUCUUGCGUGGUUGUUAGUAACUAGUUUACAUGAUGUUGUCACGACUGCGGCAGUAUCAAAAACGGAUUCCCGGGAGUAACCCUAUAAAGAAAAUAACUUAAAUUAAUUAAUCAUCUAAAUUAGAAAAGAAACAUCGGCCAACAGAAGAUUACCUUAGGUCCAAUCCGGGUUUUCCAGAAAUGUUGCUUGGUACUUGGCCGGUCAGAUUAUUGUUAUAAACGAAGCUGACACCGAUGACCACAAAUGAGUGUGUUAAUAUUUUUAUCGAAUAGCAAACGAUCUCCCUUCUUAAACAUGAAUUUGAUUUCAUGUCAGAGCCAAUAGCCAGCAAACGUACAAGAAUACUAUAUUUACAUCUAUGCUCGUAUCCAAAUUUGUGUACUAAAACAAAAUAAUGAUAACAGAAAAUAAGCCAGUAAAAUUUUCUCUGGUAGGCGUUUUCAGGCUAUUGGGUGAUGCAACAUUUUCAAUCAUAAAAAAUCAUAUACAAGUAUUGACGUAAAAUACAACUGAACAAGAACAAGAUUGAGAAAGAAAGAGGGAGAGAACAGAGAAUUUAAAGGAAGAAAAUAUCAAUUUAUUCGAUAUGAAAGUCUUAACUAUUACAAUGUAUAAGCCCAUUUAUAUAGGGUCUAAACUAGUCUAAUAUAAGUAAGAAAAUAAUAUAAAAUCUAUUAAAUAAAAUGCUAAUUAUGUUUCUCAAAAUAAGUAUCAUAUUUUGAAAAUAAACAACUUACAAAAUACUAGAAAAUCGAUUAAAUAAAACCCUCAUUAAGUUUCCUAAAUAAGUAUCUAAUUUGGACAGUGAAUUACAUAAUAUCUCUACUAUGAUUCCCAUCAAGCAUUCUGCAAAUGUCUGAAUGGAAUGUAGCUACUUCCACUUCACACAUUUGUGGAAUAAACCACCCAAUAACUUAGAAUUUGGUUGAAUUUUUACUAGUUUGUUCAUUGCUGGAUUACGGACAAUCGUAAUUCAUAUAAUCAAGAUUGAUUAGCCACUGAAAACUGUGGUUUUAGGACUAUAUCCCAACAUGCAGGAAAAGGUAUAAAAAGUUAAGGUUGCUGUAUCUGGUAUAUUGGUAAAGACCUGACAAAACCACCACUUUCUUUCAAUCAAGAAUGUCGCCAAGCAGCACGGGAUUAAACUUAAAUUUAUGGUGAGAAAACCACAAGAAAGUAUUAUGGAUUGCAUACAUAACGCACAUGAUGGAUGAAUUGAACACUAGAAUUUUCCUAGUGCGAUAAUGGAUAUCUGUAUGAAACAUAAAUUUCAACUUGAGAAAAAGCUGGGAAUUGAACUUACAGCUCACGCAAGUUUUUCAAGUUUCCCAGCAAUGGGGGAAUAUGACCACCAAGCCGGUUGUCUUCCAAAUGCCUGAAGUGAAAGACAAUGUGUAUUAGGGAAAGAAAUUAUGUUCUUAAAUUGUCCAGAGAAUACAUGGAUGCCAAAAUAGUAAAUAUCUUGACGCAUUCAGGUCACUUUGUCACGCAAAAACAUCUGGCUAUUUACUAUCUUGUAAGAAAUCAUUCUCUAUCCACUAAAGUAAUGAAGGCAACUGCAAAAAAUGAAAAAAUGAAAAUGGUUCAUGACUCACAAAAUUGUCAAUCCCUUUAAUGAACUGAGGUCGGGUAUAGUUCCCGACAGACUAUUGUUCCCAAGCAAGCUGUCAAUGACAAGAGAUUAGUAAUGAAAGAAUCACUUGUGUAAAUAGUUUAUAUAUAUGCAAAUUAAUAUUUACGUACAUGGUUGUCAAUGCCGUCAUCUUGGAAAUAUAUGGUGAGAUCAAUCCUGAAAGACCCAUGCCCGUCAUGUUUCUGCAGACAAGAGGAAAAAGAUGAGAAUACUGCAAUUUCACCUUCUUAUGAUGAUGAGAAUAGAUGUUCAGGAUGAUAUUAUAAUUUUUAAUGUACAACAAGUUCCAACUCACAAGGUUACUAUACGAAUUCGGGGUCCUUCUGAGCAAGUAACUCCAGUCCAUGAGUAUUGACGGGGUAAACACGGAUCACCAUUCCAAUCAACUGGUGGAUUCUGGAAACUUUUUUUCAAGCCUUCCAUAGCAACAACUGCAAUUAAAAAGAACCUAGAUAUGUAUUUUCAUACUUUUAAAUAAGUAAAUAGGUCAUGAAAAGAGAAGGAAAGAGACAUUAUAAGUACCAAGUGAAGAUAACCAAAUAGGUACCUAUUUCAAAAGAGGAGAAAUAUCACCAUGCAAGAGGUCGAAUGUAUGGUAAAAAAAAUUAUUUUUCCUUCACUAUUAAGAGAACUGGCUUCAAAGAAGUGAUUCAAGCAAGCCAAUGCCAGCGACUUCAUUUCAGAAUUAUGAUUCCAAAAAGUUGGCUAUGUCACCGGAUUAUUAAUUUUAGAUCAAGAGAACUUAUCUAAAGCAGGGUAUACAAUUGAAAAUGAUAUCAUGGUAUGUAAGAGAAGAUUAGGAGCAGAACCAUACCAUCACGUGCGAGAGUUUUUCCUCCAACUGUCAGCACUUGAAAAACUUCUCCUGCGUUGAUUAGGGGACCAAUACUUGAUCCAGUAGAAGGAGUUAAUGCUAUAUUUGUCAAACCAGAAAGAGGCCACUGGUUUGCAAAGACAACAACACCAGCUGGAGUCACACUGAGGUUAUUAUAAUAAGUUAUCCCAUUUAUGGUUAUGUCAAACAUUCUUGAGCUUGUUGAAACACGAUCAUCGGCAAAAUAAAGAGCGACGUAAUAUGUCGAGUUAGGGAGAUAUGCUGGAGGCCACAUUAACAGCAGGGGUUCUGGUU